GGCACAUUGCUGGCCGUAACUUCCGCUGACUGGGGUGGCAACGGCGGAAGCUGAGCUGCGGCUUCAGGUCGGAGCUGCCGAGGUCCUGUUCUGAGGUGCUGGCAUCAGGAUGCUAAAUUUUGGAGUCUAGCAGUUCUCAGUUUUCUCAGAGCCAGGACCCUCUGCUUUUCCCAGGCUGUGACAGUGUCCAAGGCAAGAGUCUGGAUUCCAAAUCUCAGGAAGGCUGAAUUGGUGCGGAUCCCCACUCUACCACUUUCCAGGACUGAAGGUUUGACAUUACC